rnacentral:lncRNA from 1 species
UAGGCACUGGACUAUAGCAGUAAACAAAGCUCAUCAUGUCUCUGCCCUCAAACUCUACAGUCCCGGGAAUGAGGAAAACUGAGGUCAGGUUCUGCAAAGUGGACCAGAGACUGUGCACAAGAAGAUGAUGCUCCAUGAACGGCUGGAACUGGAAACAGGAUAACUUGGAUAAUACACCCCAUCUCGGCACCUAUGAGAGUCUGACUCACUUCCUCUGUCCAGAGGAGAAACAAGGACUCCUUGGACAAAGCGUGUGCCUUUCACAGCCAACGAAUCAGGCGUUUCUCCGGGUUCUGUGAAGCUUAUUUAGUGACAUUCCCCAAAACCUGUGCUCAGUGGCAAGAUUCUCCAUUUCCUGAGGACAAGCGCCGAUGCAAAUAGCAGGAGCUCUACCCCCCUCUCUUCUCGUCCUACUGUGGAAGUGGGUUUCAUUUGAGCAGUAAGACAUGACAGACAGUGCAUUUGUGGGCAAUUAAGUCACACCUUGGGUGGUAUCAGAAAGCAUAAGGUCAAGGGAUGGGGGCUUUAACUUCCUAAGAAAUGCAAUAAUGACCCUGAAAUGCACAGCUUGGGUACCUUAUUACAAUUGUAAGAUGGAAUACAUUAAAAUAAAGAAAACAAGGAACAAAGAUGAAAGUGGAAUUGGUCGAUGGGGGUAUGAAAUCAAUGUCAGGCAAUCAUAAGUCUUUGUAUUUGAAUUUCUAAAAGCAUUUCCAAAUGGUCGCCCCUUCAUAAAGCUUUAGUACUUUCUCAUGUACAAUCAGACACAGAUUGUCUUUUAAUGACAUUGGCAAGAAUUGGAAGAAGAACCAUUUCUUUUCGUUUGAGAAGAAAACUUUGUUAAGGCUGGUGGCUGGCAUCUGCACUAGUUUUAGACAGGCCAGAGGUAUGAAUGGGAUAGAACAAGCUGGCGAGGAUCAGACCCCCAUUGGGUAAGUAAAGCACCACUGAGUCACUGCUGAGAAAUCCAAGGCACUGUACAUAAAGGCAAGCCCUGUAGAAGGAUGAAAGAGGCACCGCUCACAAGGACAUCUGUAUCCUAGUCCGGGGAACCUAUGAAUGUUAC